rnacentral:rRNA from 1 species
GUAAGCGGUUUGGAUAGAGCCUUCCCCUUAGGGGGACAAAGUGACAGGAGGUGCAUGGUUGUCGUCAGCUUGUGUAUUGAGAUGAAUGGUUAAGUCCCGUAACGAGCGCAACCUUUAAGAUUAGUUGCCAUCAUUAAGUUGGGCACUCUAGGAUGACUACCGGUGACAAACCGGAGGAAGGUGGGGAUGACGUCAAAUCAUCAUGCCCAUUAAGAUUUGGGUUACGCUCGUGCUACAAUGGACAAUACAAAGGGCAGGAAACCGGGAGGUCAUGCAAAUCCCAUAAAGUUGUUUUCAGUUGGGAUUGUAGUGUACAACUCGAAUACAUGAAGCUGGAAUAGAUAGUAAUCGUAGAUCCACAUGUUACGGU